rnacentral:rRNA from 1 species
AUGAAAAAGUCCAUUGCUGACUAUUGGUGGGGAAUUGAGGAUGGUCGAAAAAAGAUGCACUGGCGCAGUUGGGAAUGGCUAUCCACUCAAAAAUCCCUUGGCAGCAUGGGAUUCCGUGAUUUUGUGCUUUUUAAUCAAGCAAUGUUGGGGAAGCACAGCUGACGCUUACUAACUGACUCAUCGUCGUUGUGCGGUAAGGUCCUUAAGGGAAGAUACUUUCUGGACUUUGAUUCUAUGGAUGCAACUUGUCCCAAGGCAGCAUCCUUUACCCAGCGUAGCAUUUUGUUUGGCAGAGCUAGUUUUGAAAGGCUUGAGUUGGGUGGUGGGUACAGGAAACAAAAUUAA